rnacentral:rRNA from 1 species
GUAGGUGGCAAGCGUUGUCCGGGAAUUAUUGGGGCGUAAAGCGCGCGCAGGCGGUUCUUUAAGUCUGAUGUGAAAGCCCACGGGCUCAACCGUGGAGGGUCAUUGGAAACUGGAGAACUUGAGUACAGAAGAGGAAAGCGGAAUUCCACGUGUAGCGGUGAAAUGCGUAGAGAUGUGGAGGAACACCAGUGGCGAAGGCGGCUUUCUGGUCUGUAACUGACGCUGAGGCGCGAAAGCGUGGGGAGCAAACAGGAUUAGAUACCCUGGUAGUCCACGCCGUAAACGAUGAGUGCUGAGUGUUAGGGGGUUUCCGCCCCUUAGUGCUGCAGCUAACGCAUUAAGCACUCCGCCUGGGGAGUACGGCCGCAAAGGCUG